rnacentral:rRNA from 1 species
GACGAACGCUGGCGGCGUGCUUAAUACAUGCAAGUCGAACGGAAAGGCCCUGCUUUUGUGGGUUUCUCGAGUGGCGAACGGGUGAGUAACACGUGAGUAACCUGCCCCUGACUUUGGGAUAACUUCAGGAAACUGGGGCUAAUAUAGGAUAGGAUAUCCUGCACCACGGUGUGGGAUGGUAAGUUUCGGCGGUUGGGUCUGGACUCGCGGCUUAUCAGCUUGUUGGUCGAGUAGGUGCUUACCAAGGCUGUGACGGGUAGGCGGCAUGAGAGGGUGAACGGCCACAUUGGUCCUGAGAUACGGCGCAGUCUGCUACCGGACGCAGCGGUGGAGAGUAUUGCGCAAUGGGCGGAAGCGAGUGGUGAAGACGUCGCGUGCGGGAAGACGUCUUACUAGUUGUGAACCGAUGUCGACUGAAACGAAGCCUGAGUGACGGUACUGGGUAAAAAAGCAACGGCUAACUACGUG